rnacentral:misc_RNA from 1 species
CCGAGUUAGGGUUCCUCUCACGGGCCCGACCUCCCAACCCUGUGUCUAUCACACCUUGUCGUUGCUUCGGCGGACCGGUUGGACCCCUGUGUGGGGUCAUGACCGCCGGGGGUGCCUACCUCUGGAGCGCGUCCGCCGAUGGCCCAACCACAAACUUCUUUGUUCCAAACUGGUCGUCUAAAGAAUUCUUGAUAUCAAUCAAAAACA